ensembl:lncRNA
CACCCAUGCAGUGCGGCUCGGGAGCAGAGAAGGACAGAGUCCCAAAGGAUGCCUGGGGUCUGGGGCGUUUCCCUGCAUGGCAAGAAACAAAGAAUAAAACAGAAGUGUCUGCUUCUGAGAGAGACUCUGGGAGACCCUCGGAGAUGUGCAGCGUUACAGUGGCCCUGUGCAACAUGCAAAGGUGGACCCCAGCCCCGCCCCGGUCCCUGGGGUAUUGUAUUAAAGGGCAGUCAGCAGGGACACUGGUCCCCUCAUGUGAGGGCCGCAGACAGGCUCCUUUGGGCAGCCUGGUAGACAGUAGACAUGAGACUGGAGUGGGGAGUUGGGAGGGAGGAACACGGCAGCAGGAAGACUCAGCCGUGGAGGUCAUGGAGGGUGAUGAGGCAAGGACUCUGGAUCCCCAUGGAAGAUGCUGGGCCUGGAAACAGGUUCCAUGUGAGUGUGAAGAGCUCCAUAUGUACAAUGAAAAUCCAGUCUUUACUUUUCUACGUGAAAUCAAAUUUAGCUAAAGGUUCAUUGGCUUGGCUAACAGGAUGGCCCAGUCAGUCGCUUUUAGGAGACUGUCUCCAGGUGAAAGCAUUGUCCCUCCAGGUACCAAAAUGUCCCACAUGGAAUCUGUGAGUAAAGGAGGCAGAUGGUUUUGGGUAAGUUGGUAGGUAUAAUUUUAACCAUCACCACUACCACCCCUUGGGUCCCUAGCCAAGUGUAUUCUGGGAGUAUCCCUAAGGGAGAACCAGCAACGCUGGGGAGAGCAUAUGCUGCAUCCCUGCACGGUGCUUCUCCAGCUGGCGUAGGAUUGGCUGCCAACAGACCAUCCCUCCCUUCUCCUGAGCUGCCUGCUUCUGGUGUUGGGAUACCUAAUAAGGUCAGGGAGUCUCAUGCGUGUAAGCCCACGGCCUGGGUUUUCUCUGUAAAGUGGGCUCCGUGGUCAGAAGACAUGUCGUGGGGGAGAACAUAAGCUGUCCAGCAAGUCCGUAGAGAGAGUGGUGGCGACAGCAUGACGACAGCAGGGGAGCCACAUCCAAAUCCGGAGCAAGUACUUGUUACAAAGGCAACGGUCACCCUUUCCCUGAUGCAGAAGUUCCAGGGCCAUCAGCCCGCCACCUGGCAGUGGGCUCCAUGCCCAGAGUCCCUCACUGCACUAAACAUCCCUGCCAGUCACCCUGUCCAUCAGGUUACAAUCCUAGGAGUUCUCAUUUCAUUUAGUCCUUACCACUGUUCAUAUGUCCUAUUUUAAGGAUAAAAAAAUGGAGGAACAGAGAGACUGAGUAACUUGCUUGAGGUCACACAGCUAGGAAGGGGUGAAGCCAACAUUGGAAGCAGGCACUCUGGGUCCAGAGUAUAGUUCUUAAUGUCCACCUUUGGUCUCAUGGUACAUCAAGUAUGUUUGGGGCUGGCUCCCACCCCCAUGCCCCUUGUGUGUGUAGAGAGAGGGGGCAUUUGGCACUCACUCCCCAGGGCCACAGCUAAUUAUCCUGGGGAGGGUACCUGACAGGGCAGGCCUGAAACCUGCAAUCUGGUGGCCUGGUGGGAAAAGUGAAUUGCGCUGACCUAGUUUCUCUCCUGGAGAAGGCUCUGGCACCCCACUCCAGUACUCUUGCCUGGAAACUCCCAUGGACGGAGGAGCCUGGUAGGCUGCAGUCCAUGGGGUCGCUAAGAGUUGGAUACGACUGAGCGACUUCACUUUCACUUUUCACUUUCAUGCAUUGAAGAAGGAAAUGACAACCCACUCCAGUGUUCUUGCCUGGAGAAUCCCAGGGACGGGGGAGCCUGGUGGGCUGCCGUCUAUGGGGUCGCACAGAGUCGGACACGACUGAAGCGAUGCAGCAGCAGCAGCAGCAGCAGCAGCAGCAGUUUCUCUCCUGGGAAUUUGAAACAGGGAAUGGGGCGUUGAUUUUGGAAGCUGAGGGGGCCCUCCUCCUUGCCCCUCCUGAGACUGUCCCUGGGCCCCAUGGUCUGGGGCCUGUCCUUAAUCUCCCUUUCCUGAGGUAACUUAGACUCUGUCCUUGAUACCCAAAUGAUUCAGCUCAGUAAUUUACUUUCUUUUAAGAAUUUAUUCAGAUCAGUUGAAAAGUGAAUAAAAAUACCUCAGUAAUGCUAGGUGAGCAUUGACCUUCUAGUUUUUCCCCUUUUCAAUUAAACAAUAUGCAGAGGGGCUUCCCUGGUGGCCCAGUGGCUAAGAAUCUGCCUUGCAACAUAG